AUGAAGCGGCGCUACCGGGGAGAGACUCCGUGCUUUUCAGGCACUAUAACGGCCCGGGACCUUUUCUUCUUCAAUAUUUCCGGGUUCGUGCAGAAGCCGCGCGGUCGGCGUUUUAUCUCCUGCAGGAUUUCUGUCCCCUUUUGUUUGGAGGCAGAAGCGGCGGAUGCUGCGGCUCACGGUGAAGCCACAGCGACGGAGGAAUCAGUGAUCAGACCCUCGCGUGGCUCCCCCGGUCUUUUGUUCAGCAUUGAUCUGUCAGGACCUCUAAUAGACCCGGUGCCGUCCCGGAGUGUCCCGGGUUGAGGAGCACCAUGCCGGAGUGCGUGUCCGUGUCCGAGUUCUUGCAGGAGGUUCAGGAGGACUGGAGCUCCCCCACCACCUCCUCCUUCACCUCCAAGAUGAUCAGCUGCAGGAACACCGUCUACCUGCUGGAGGAGGUCAGUACUGACGGAGGUGGCAGCCUUAGUAUCUGGUGCAGGUGUUAACAGCUGGAGGAGCCCCCAUAACUUCUCCUCUGUGUGCUCUGUACUUUAUAAACAUUCACAUCGGUUGAUUUCCAGCAAUUUUCAACAAGUCUUCUAGAAAUGUAGUUUAUCGUUUAAAAAUACGCAUUUUCGUUUAAAGUUUUACCAGGUCAUCUUUUUAAAGUUUCUGGGUUUGAUUUAUUCUUCCCGUGACAAAUGAAAAAUAUUCUUUCUUUGAGAAAUAUAAUUUGCAUCUUUUGUAAAAAUGCCGGUAUAAGUAUAAUAAUUUCACAAUAAUCAGCAGCAGACCAUCUGCAAACCGGUUAAUUGAUUAAUACCCUUUAAACAAUCUGCUACUGUGUGUUUAAGUGUGGGGGUGGGGGGCAUUGAACUCCCCCUCAUCACACACACACACACACACACACACACACAUUGUUGGUCAGGGGAGUCAUUGACCCGAAGCAUUCAGACCUUCGACUGUCCUGAAUAACCAAGACAGAGUCCCCCCCCAGCUAUGCGGCAUAUGUUACCACGGCAACAGAUUAAAACAUAGUGGCAUUCGUUGUUAUUGCGAUGUGACGGUAACGAGGAGGAACCAGAGUGAUGGUUAUUAACGAGGUUUAAAGUUAAUCUGUAACCUAAACACACAUUAAGCCAGAACUUUUUAAUGAGAAACCUUUUUCAGUGUUACAUGACGGCGAUACAGCCAACUGCUUUCUGUUGUGCGUCACCGUUUUCACACAGCAGGAGCUUCAGUUUCGGUUUGAUCAUCAGUUAUUAAUAACUUCUGCACUUUUACCACAAUGACUGAACGUUAGCUGUGAAAAACGUCUUUUGAGGUCUGAACAGAAAUAAUAACAACAGAUAUGAACUGUGAACUGAGACACAGGAAUGUAGCGGCCUGUUCGCAGAGAACAAAGCUCGUCCUCUGUGUGUGUGUGUGUGUGUGUGUGUGU
ensembl:lncRNA